rnacentral:rRNA from 1 species
UACGUAGGUGGCAAGCGUUGUCCGGAAUUAUUGGGCGUAAAGAGCAUGUAGGUGGAUACUUAAGUCUGUUGUGAAAAUGCGGGGCUCAACCCCGUAUUGCGAUGGAAACUGGGUGUCUUGAGUGCAGGAGAGGAAAGGGGAAUUCCCAGUGUAGCGGUGAAAUGCGUAGAUAUUGGGAGGAACACCAGUGGCGAAGGCGCCUUUCUGGACUGUGUCUGACACUGAGAUGCGAAAGCUAGGGGAGCGAACGGGAUUAGAUACCCCGGUAGUCCUAGCCGUAAACGAUGGGUACUAGGUGUAGGGGGUAUCGACCCCCCCUGUGCCGGAGUUAACGCAAUAAGUACCCCGCCUGGGGAGUACGGCCGCAAGGUUGAA